rnacentral:rRNA from 1 species
GAUGAACGCUGGCGGCGUGCCUAACACAUGCAAGUCGAGCGAUCUUCUUCGGAAGAGAGCGGCGGACGGGUGAGUAACGCGUGGGUAACCUGCCUCAUACACAUGGAUAACAUACCGAAAGGUAUGCUAAUACAAGAUGAUAUAAGAGAUUCGCAUGGAUUUCUUAUCAAAGCUUUUGCGGUAUGAGAUGGACCCGCGUCUGAUUAGCUAGUUGGUAAGGUAAUGGCUUACCAAGGCGACGAUCAGUAGCCGACCUGAGAGGGUGAUCGGCCACAUUGGAACUGAGUCACGGUCCAAACUCCUACGGGAGGCAGCAGUGGGGAAUAUUGCACAAUGGGCGAAAGCCUGAUGCAGCAACGCCGCGUGAGCGAUGAAGGCCUUCGGGUCGUAAAGCUCUGUCCUCAAGGAAGAUAAUGACGGUACUUGAGGAGGAAGCCCCGGCUAACUACGUGCCAGCAGCCGCCGGUAA